GUGCAAUCUCAGCUCGCUGCAACCUCCGCCUCCCAGUUUCAAGUGACUCUCCUGCCUCAGCCUCCCGAGUAGCUGGGAUUAUAGGCGUGAGCAACCACGCCUGGCUGAUUUUUGUAUUUUUAGUAGAGAUGGGGUUAUGCCAUGUUGGUCAGGCUGGUCUCGAACUCCUGGCUUCAAGCGAUCCACCUGCCUUGGCCUCCCCAAGUGCUGGGAUUACAGGCGUGAGCCACCGCACCUGACCCGGUAAUAUUUUUUACUUAGGAAAAUAUCAAACAAAUUAGAAUGUGUUACCUACCUAAGUGAUAAGUGGCAAGGUCAAAGAUCUACCCAUUUUAUUAUUAAAGGAUCAUGCUAGCCAUAGCCAAUGAUCAAGUUAGCUUAUUUCUUAGAUGAAACAUAACCAGCAGAGGGCACUGGAACCCAGUAAAAUAAAGUUGAGACAUUAGCAGAGCUCAACUACAGAAGUGACAAGAGAAACAAGCCACUUAAAAAUAAAAAAUCAAUAUAAAACGUUACUGCUCGCCCUCUCCCGUCUCCCUCUCCCUCUCCCGUCUCCCUCUCCCGUCUCCCUCUCCCUCUCCCGUCUCCCUCUCCCUCUCCCUCUCCCGUCUCCCUCUCCCGUCUCCCUCUCCCUCUCCCGUCUCCCUCUCCCGUCUCCCUCUCCCUCUCCCGUCUCCCUCUCCCUCUCCCGUCUCCCUCUCCCUCUCCCGUCUCCCUCUCCCUCUCAUGCCGAGCCAAAGCUGGACGGUACUGCUGCCAUCUCGGCUCACUGCAACCUCCCUGCCUGAUUCUCCUGCCUCAGCCUGCCGAGUGCCUGCGAUUGCAGGCGCGCGCCGCCACGCCUGACUGGUUUUCGUUUUUUUUUGGUGGAGAUGGGGUUUCGCUGUGUUGGCCGGGCUGGUCUCCAGCUCCUAACCGCGAGUGAUCCGCCAGCCUCGGCCUCCCGAGGUGCCGGGAUUGCAGAUGGAGUCUCGUUCACUCAGUGCUCAAUGGUGCCCAGGCUGGAGUGCAGUGGCGUGAUCUCGGCUCGCUACAACCACCUCCCAGCCGCCUGCCUUGGCCUCCCAAAGAGCCGAGAUUGCAGCCUCUGCCCGGCCGCCACCCCGUCUGGGAAGUGAGGAGCGUCUCUGCUUGGCCACCCAUCGUCUGGGAUGUGAGGAGCCCCUCUGCCUGGCUGCCCAGUGUGGAAAGUGAGGAGCGUCUCUGCCCGGCCGCCAUCCCAUCUAGGAAGCGAGAAGCGCCUCUUCCCCGCCGCCAUCCCAUCUAGGAAGUGAGGAGCGUCUCUGCCCGGCCGCCCAUCGUCUGAGAUGUGGGGAGCACCUCUGCCCCACCGCCCUGUCUGGGAUGUGAGGAGCGCCUCUGCUGGGCCGCAACCCUGUCUGGGAGGUGAGGAGUGUCUCUGCCCGGCCGCUCCGUCUGAGAAGUGAGGAAACCCUCUGCCUGGCAACCGCCCCGUCUGAGAAGUGAGGAGCCCCUCCGUCUGGCAACCACCCCGUCUGGGAAGUGAGGAGCGUCUCCGCCCGGCAGCCACCCCGUCCGGGAGGGAGGUGGGGGGGGUCAGCCCCCCGCCCGGCCAGCCGCCCCGUCCGGGAGGGAGGUGGGGGGAUCAGCCCCCUGCCUGGCCAGCCGCCCCGUCCGGGAGGUGAGGGGCGCCUCUGCCCGGCCGCCCCUACUGGGAAGUGAGGACCCCUCUGCCCGGCCAGCCGCCCCGUCCGGGAGGGAGGUGGGGGGAACAGCCCCCCGCCCGGCCAGCCGCCCUAUCCAGGAGGUGAGGGGCGCCUCUGCCCGGCCGCCCCUACUGGGAAGUGAGGAGCCCCUCUGCCUGGCCAGCCGCCCCGUCCGGGAGGGCGGUGGGGGGGUCAGCCCCCCGCCCGGCCAGCCGCCCCAUCUGGGAGGUGAGGGGCACUUCUGCCGGGCCGCCCCUACUGGGAAGUGAGGAGCCCCUCUGCCCGGCCACGACCCCGUCUGGGAGGUGUGCCCAGCGGCUCAUUGGGGAUGGGCCAUGAUGACAAUGGCGGUUUUGUGGAAUAGAAAGGCGGGAAGGGUGGGGAAAAAAUUGAGAAAUCGGAUGGUUGCUGGGUCUGUGUGGAUAGAAGUAGACAUGGGAGACUUUUCAUUUUGUUCUGUACUAAGAAAAAUUCUUCUGCCUUGGGAUCCUGUUGAUCUGUGACCUUAUCCCCAACCCUGUGCUCUCUGAGACAUGUGCUGUGUCCACUCAGGGUUAAAUGGAUUAAGGGCGGUGCAAGAUGUGCUUUGUUAAACAGAUGCUUGAAGGCAGCAUGCUCGUUAAGAGUCAUCACCACUCCCUAAUCUUAAGUACCCAGGGACACAAACACUGCGGAAGGCAGCAGGGUCCUCUGCCUAGGAAAACCAGAGACCUUUGUUCACUUGUUUAUCUGCUGACCUUCCCUCCACUAUUGUCCUAUGACCCUGCCAAAUCCCCCUCUGCGAGAAACACCCAAGAAUGAUCAAUAAAAAUAAAAAAUAAAAA
rnacentral:lncRNA from 1 species